AUUGAACGCUGGCGGCAGGCCUAACACAUGCAAGUCGAGCGGCAGCGGGAAAGUAGCUUGCUACUUUUGCCGGCGAGCGGCGGACGGGUGAGUAAUGCCUGGGAAAUUGCCCGGUCGGGGGGGAUAACAGUUGGAAACGACUGCUAAUACCGCAUACGCCCUACGGGGGAAAGCAGGGGACCUUCGGGCCUUGCGCGCUUGGAUCUGCCCAGGUGGGAUUAGCAAGUUGGGGAGGUAAUGGCUCACCAAGGCGGCGAUCCCUAGCUGGUCUGAGAGGAUGAUCAGCCACACUGGAACUGAGACACGGUCCAGACUCCUACGGGAGGCAGCAGUGGGGAAUAUUGCACAAUGGGGGAAACCCUGAUGCAGCCAUGCCGCGUGUGUGAAGAAGGCCUUCGGGUUGUAAAGCACUUUCAGCGAGGAGGAAAGGUCAGUAGCUAAUAUCUGCUGACUGUGACGUUACUCGCAGAAGAAGCACCGGCUAACUCCGUGCCAGCCGCCGCAGUAACAC
rnacentral:rRNA from 1 species